UCUAAUAUGGCAGAAUAGUGCAAUGGAUUUAAGUCCCAUAUAUAAAGAUACCUUUUUUUAGAA
rnacentral:tRNA from 1 species